AAGUAAGUCUAACAAGGUUUCCGUAGGUGAACCUGCGGAAGAUCAUUAUAAAUGGCUCGCGUUAGGAGCACUUAUAAUCCUACCUUUGUGAAUUUGUUGUUUGAAAUAAUUUUUUUUAAAAUUAUGAAUGUCUUCCCUGUUGAAUUAGAGUGUUUUCGGACACAAAGAUUCGCAGGGGAUAGUCAAUAAUUUUUAAAAAGACCUUUUUUAAAUUAAACUUUUUGUAUUCAUUUGUCUAAAUAUUUUAUAAUAUAAAAAACACUUUUGACAAUGAUCUCCUGGUUCUCGCAACGAUGAAGAACGCAGCAAAUGCAUAAGUAGUGUGAGUUGCAGAAUACGUGAAUCUCGAAUCUUCGACGCAUUGCACUUUUUUAGUUCUAAAAAAGUAUGUCUGUUUGAGUAUCAGUAAAAGUAUUCUCAUAAAACAUUGUUUUAUGGUUAUGAGUGUUUUACAACGAUACAAGUUGUUUCACUUUAAAUUUUUUUAAAUUUGAAUUUUUCUAAUUUUAAAUAAAAUUGGAUAAAAUUUCCCGUAAAAAGGAAUAACCUAAACAUUUUAAUUUUAAUAAUUAGAAUUCAAAUAUCAAAAAGGAAUUUAUUCAAAUAACUUGAUCUCAAAUCAGAUAAGAGUACCGCUGAACUUAAGCAUAUCAAUACGGAGGAAAAGAAACUACAAGGAUUCCUUAGUAACGGCGAGUGAAGCGGAAGAGCUCAAAUUGAAAUCUUCAGGUUUACCUUGACGAAUUGUAGUUUAAAGAGUGUUUUCUGUUGAAUUUGGUAAAAGUUCUUUGGAAUAGGACAUCAUAGAGGGUGAGAAUCCGUAUUUGACCAUUAUUUUCAGCUGUGUGAUACACUUUCAAAGAGUCGGAUUGUUUGGGAAUGCAGUCCAAAAUGGGUGGUAAAUUCAUCUAAAGCUAAAUAUUGGCGAGAGACGAUAGCGAACAAGUACCGUGAGGAAAGAUGAAAAGAACUUGAAAAGAGAGUUAACAGUACGUGAAAUGUCAAAAGGAAGCGUUUGACACAGUGUUGUUUCUCGAAAAUCAAUUAAAAGAGUUGAUUUGUGUUGUAUUGACUUACAGCUUCUGCCUCUUUCCUGCUUUUUAAUGCACUUUCGUUAACAGUCAACAUCAGUUUCUUUUGUUGUAAAAGGUCAUUGGAAGGUGGCUUCUUUUCGGAGAAAGUGUUUAUAGCCUUUGAUCUCUGCAAUCGGAGAGACUGAGGUCGCAGCGUAGAUCCUUCGGGUUAGAUACAUUGUGCUAAUUAUAACUUUCAUAGACACUUGUUGACUAUGUUUAGUCAUGUAGCUUACUCGCUUAUGCUAUUUUACCUACGCUUAGGAUGUUGAC
rnacentral:misc_RNA from 1 species